GUGCUCAUUUCGACAGCACAAAGACUAAAAUGGGAAUGAUUCAGAGAAGAUGAGCAUGGGCCCUGUGCAAAGAUGACACGUAUAUUCGUGAAGCGUCCCAUGUUUUU